rnacentral:rRNA from 1 species
UGGGAAUUUGGACAAUGGGCGAAAGCCUGAUCCAGCAAUGCCGCGUGUGUGAAGAAGGCCUUCGGGUUGUAAAGCACUUUUGUCCGGAAAGAAAUCCUUGGCUCUAAUACAGUCGGGGGAUGACGGUACCGGAAGAAUAAGCACCGGCUAACUACGUGCCAGCAGCCGCGGUAAUACGUAGGGUGCAAGCGUUAAUCGGAAUUACUGGGCGUAAAGCGUGCGCAGGCGGUUUGCUAAGACCGAUGUGAAAUCCCCGGGCUCAACCUGGGAACUGCAUUGGUGACUGGCAGGCUAGAGUAUGGCAGAGGGGGGUAGAAUUCCACGUGUAGCAGUGAAAUGCGUAGAGAUGUGGAGGAAUACCGAUGGCGAAGGCAGCCCCCUGGGCCAAUACUGACGCUCAUGCACGAAAGCGUGGGGAGCAAACAGGAUUAGAUACCCUGGUAGUCCACGCCCUAAACGAUGUCAACUAGUUGUUGGGGACUUCAUUUUCCUUAGUAACGUAGCUAACGCGUGAAGUUGACCGCCUGGGGAGUACGGUCGCAAGAUUAAAACUCAAAUGAAUUGACGGGGUCAUA